rnacentral:rRNA from 1 species
GUCAGACUAGUAUGAUGAUGACGUGGAAUGAUGUCGUAGGGAAUCUGAUGACGAGCACUACUCGAAGCAUGAUCAGACGUUCAUGAUCAAGUCUAAGUAAGGAUCGAGCGAUUAGAUCCCGUCGUAGUCUAACACAACUAUGCGACUAGGAUGGCUGUUAUAGACUAGUCAGCAUCUAGGAAGUAAGUUUUGGUCGGGGGAGUAUGGAGCAAGGCGAACUAAGAAUGACGAAGGGCACACCAGGAGUGAGCCGCGCUAAUUGAUCAACACGGGGAACUCACAGGUCCAGACAUAGUAGGAAUUGACAGAUGAAGUUCUUUCUAGAUUCUAUGGGUGGUGGUGCAUGGCCGUUCUUAGUUCGUGGAGUGAUUUGUCUGGUUAAUUCCGAUAACGAACGAGCCCUUAUUUUGCUAAAUAGCCAGGUCAACUUUUUAGUUGAUUAAUAGAUUUAUCUAUCUGGCUUUUUAGAGAGACUUUGGGCUUCAAGCCGAAGGAAGUUUUAGCCAAUACCAGGUCUGUGAUGCCCUUAGAUGUUUUGGCCCGCACGCGCGCUCCACUGAGGAAGUCAGGGAGUUUAUACCCUUAGCCGGAAGGUUUGGGUAAACUUUUGAAAUUUCAUCGUGCUGGGGAUAGACCAUUGUAAUUAUUGUUCUUCAACGAGGAAUUCCUAGUAAGCCCAAGUCAUCAGCUUGCGUGGAUUACGUCCCUCCCCUUUGUCCACCCCCCCCGUCGCUACUACCGAUUGAAUGGUUAUAGUGAGCAUAUGGGACCAGUAGAAUUAGACGGGCACCAUUCUUUUUCGGCAGAGAACUAGGGCAAAUUGGGCAUAAGAGAAGGCG